GAUGAACGCUAGCGGGAGGCCUAAUACAUGCAAGUCGAACGGUAAGGUUCCUUCGGGAAUACACGAGUGGCGCACGGGUGAGUAACGCGUACACAACCUACCUCUUACAGGGAGAUAGCCCCGGGAAACUGGGAUUAAUACCCCAUGGUUUUUAGAAAUGGCAUCAUUUUUAAAAUAAAACUCCGGUGGUAAGAGAUGGGUGUGCGUUAGAUUAGAUAGUUGGUGAGGUAACGGCUCACCAAGUCUGCGAUCUAUAGCUGGUCUGAGAGGAUGAUCAGCCACACUGGAACUGAGACACGGUCCAGACUCCUACGGGAGGCAGCAGUAGGGAAUAUUGGACAAUGGACGAAAGUCUGAUCCAGCCAUCCCGCGUGCAGGAAUAAGGCCCUAUGGGUUGUAAACUGCUUUUAUUAGGGAAGAAAUCAUUGGAUUUAUCCGAUGUUGACGGUACCUAACGAAUAAGCACCGGCUAACUCCG
rnacentral:rRNA from 1 species